rnacentral:misc_RNA from 1 species
GAUGAAGAACGUAGCGAAAUGCGAUAAGUCAUGUGAAUUGCAGAAUUCAGUGAAUCAUCGAAUCUUUGAACGCACAUUGCGCCCGCCAGUAUUCUGGCGGGCAUGCCUGUUCGAGCGUCAUUUCAACCAUCAAGCCCCGGGCUUGUGUUGGGGGCCUGCGGCUGCCGCAGGCCCUGAAAAGCAGUGGCGGGCUCGCUGUCACACCGAGCGUAGUAGCAUACAUCUCGCUCUGGGCGUGCUGCGGGUUCCGGCCGUUAAACCACCUUUUAACCCAAGGUUGACCUCGGAUCAGGUAGGAAGACCCGCUGAACUUAAGCAUAUCAAUAAGCGGAGGA